rnacentral:rRNA from 1 species
UACGGAGGGUGCAAGCGUUAUCCGGAUUCACUGGGUUUAAAGGGUGCGUAGGUGGGUUGGUAAGUCAGUGGUGAAAUCUCCGAGCUUAACUUGGAAACUGCCAUUGAUACUAUCAGUCUUGAAUAUUGUGGAGGUCAGCGGAAUAUGUCAUGUAGCGGUGAAAUGCUUAGAUAUGACAUAGAACACCAAUUGCGAAGGCAGCUGGCUACACAUAUAUUGACACCGAGGCACGAAAGCGUGGGGAUCAAACAGG